rnacentral:rRNA from 1 species
UACGAGGGGGGCGAGCGUUGUUCGGAAUUAUUGGGCGUAAAGGGCGCGUAGGCGGUGCGGUUAAGUCACCUGUGAAACCCCCGGGCUCAACUCGGGGCCUGCAGGCGAAACUGCCGUGCUGGAGUGCGGAAGAGGUGAGUGGAAUUCCCGGUGUAGCGGUGAAAUGCGUAGAUAGUCGGGAGGAACACCUGUGGCGAAAGCGGCUCACUGGACCGCAACUGACGCUGAGGCGCGA